rnacentral:lncRNA from 1 species
GUGAGUCAGCCACCUGGGGCUGCAGCCCUUGUUAGAGAAUGUUAAACGAGCAGGUCUCUGAGGAGGGGAGCUCAGCUUGGAGGGGUCUUGCCUGAGGACUGGGUGUAGCAGUGCCUCCUCUUGCCCUGAUAGGGGUUGGUAGCUUUGUGCAACAUUUGCUUGAUGUUGCAGGGCAAGGAAGAGAGUAUGUGGCUAGGGCUGGUUGGAGGCUGCAUCUAACUUAACUUUUCCAGGAUCUACAGGAGCCGGCUUUGUUACCAGCCAGAAGAAGUGACGGCAGUAUCCAGGUGGUGGGGCAUUGUAUCUCCUAGGAGGGUGGAGCAAGUUAGCUGUGAGCGGGGCCUAGACACGUGCACUGCUGUGUUUGCUGCUGUUACACGAGGGCUGUCAGCACGGUGAUGGGGAGGCAGUGGAGAAGCUGAAGAGGUGAAGCAAUUUAGGACUCAACCCAAAGGUUAUCCAAGCCAUCAGGAAGCUUCGUGUUGGUUCCUGCAGCCUUCGGCAGAGGCGCAGCUCCCCUCACUGUAACCACAUCUGAGCCACUGCAACAGGCAUUACUUAAUAGCGCUGAGAAGAGAAGCAGAAGAAAAUUUCUUUGAAGUUUUACCUGGACCUGAAGAGGCAGGAGGAGAGAAGACAAAGUGGAAAUACGGGUGAAUGGAGGAGAGCCAUUUGCCACCAUCCAAACAGGUCCAUUUCAACCACUUUCCUGUUGCGUACCUGCUUUUAGCCAGAGCCACUUGGUGCAAGCAGAGGUUAGAGACCUUUGGGGCUAACGCUAAAGAGCAUCAUCUUUGUAUUCUGACUGCAAAUCUUCAGUGUUAAACUCCACGAACGUUCAGCUGUACCAGACUCUGUGAAGGCCUACGUAAGAAGGAAUAAUGUG